rnacentral:rRNA from 1 species
AGAAUCAACGCUGGCGGCGUGCCUAACACAUGCAAGUCGAACGAGAAAGGGUAGCAAUACCUGAGUAAAGUGGCGCACGGGUGAGUAACACGUGACUAACCUACCUUUUAGUGGGGGAUAACCUAGGGAAACCUGGGCUAAUACCGCAUAAUACCUACGGGUCAAAGCAGCAAUGCGCUGAAUGAGGGGGUCGCGGUCGAUUAGUUAGUUGGCAGGGUAAUGGCCUACCAAGACUGUGAUCGAUAUCCGGCCUGAGAGGGCGCACGGACACACUGGAACUGAAACACGGUCCAGACUCCUACGGGAGGCAGCAGUGGGGAAUUUGCGCAAUGGGGGAAACCCUGACGCAGCAACGCCGCGUGGAGGAUGAAGUCCCUUGGGACGUAAACUCCUUUCGAUCGGGACGAUAAUGACGGUACCGGAAGAAGAGCCCCGGCUAACUUCGUGCCAGCAGCCGC